AUGCAAGUCGAACGGAGUAAUGGCUCGGUUAUUACUAGUGGCGAACGGGUGAGUAACACGUGAAUAAUCUGCCCUGUACGAUGGGAUAACAGCUGGAAACGGCUGCUAAUACCGUAUAUGACCACGCCGAGGCAUCUCGGAGGGGUGAAAGCGCUUAAGCGGUACAGGAUGAGUUCGCGUCCAAUUAGCUAGUUGGUGAGGUAACGGCCCACCAAGGCGACGAUUGGUAGCCGACCUGAGAGGGUGAUCGGCCACACUGGAACUGAGACACGGUCCAGACUCCUACGGGAGGCAGCAGUGGGGAAUAUUGGGCAAUGGAGGAAACUCUUACCCAAGCAAUGCCGCGUGAGUGAUGAAGGUCUUCGGAUUGUAAAGCUCUUUGAUUGGGGACGAAUAAAUGACGGUACCCAAGGAACAAGCCCCGGCUAACUAUGUGCCAGCAGCAGC
rnacentral:rRNA from 1 species